rnacentral:lncRNA from 12 species
CAAUUCCAAUAGCAAUGUAAACCAUGCUGUUCUGAGGAAGAGCUCUGAAAAGGCUGGGUGUUCACAGGUUUGUUUUUCACAGUUGAAAUGUUUCUGAAGACUUAUUUUUGGACGUGAGACACAUAUUCAAAAGUGCACUAAAGAGACAGGUUUGAUUUUUAAUUUAGAUUUUUCUGGAUCUGAAUUUCUGAAAUUUUAAUUCGAGCACCCCCCACCCUCUGUCUAGUUCCUGGGAGAACGAUACAUUUUGGUCGCCUGGGCAGGGGUGUGGUCAGAGGACCUCUUGCUCUUGGAGAGGAGAACACCUUCAAGAUUCAAGAUUCAAGGAGGAGGCGGACUAUGUUUCUAAUAAUCUUCCAUAUUCUCCUAACAUCGCCACUGUUCAAGUUCCCUGCAUUUUAGGGGAAUCAUCUCUGUAAAAAUAUUGCAUGAAGAGUAACAGAUUAUGAAGCCAACUUUACCAUACUGUCUUGCUAUAUUCCUCCUUCUUUAGAGUAAGUGCUUUCUUUUACUUCUUAAUUUUACCACAUUACCAUAGUUUCUGACACAGAAUUUAAUAAACUCAAUAUAUUUCUUAUUUUGCA